rnacentral:rRNA from 1 species
GCACUUUAAGCAGUGAAGAAGACUCCGUGGUUAAUACCCGGAGACGAUGACAUUAGCUGCAGAAUAAGCACCGGCUAACUCUGUGCCAGCAGCCGCGGUAAUACAGAGGGUGCAAGCGUUAAUCGGAAUUACUGGGCGUAAAGCGAGCGUAGGUGGCUUGAUAAGUCAGAUGUGAAAUCCCCGGGCUUAACCUGGGAACUGCAUCUGAUACUGUUAGGCUAGAGUAGGUGAGAGGAAGGUAGAAUUCCAGGUGUAGCGGUGAAAUGCGUAGAGAUCUGGAGGAAUACCGAUGGCGAAGGCAGCCUUCUGGCAUAAUACUGACACUGAGGCUCGAAAGCGUGGGUAGCAAACAGGAUUAGAUACCCUGGUAGUCCACGCCGUAAACGAUGUCUACUAGUCGUUGG